rnacentral:ncRNA from 2 species
CUUACUGACAUUCCAGACGGUCCUGCCCGGCAACGGAACAGGCUAAAAGGGAAUGCGGUGCGAUCCUCCAAAGGAUCAAUGCCGCGGCUGCCCCCGCAACUGUAAUCGGCGAGCCACUGCAAACGAGCCACUGGGCAAACCCGGGAAGGCAGCAGGCGGUCAGGACCCGAGAGCCAGGAGACCUGCCGUCGACAAAAAUACGUU